rnacentral:rRNA from 1 species
UACAGAGGUCCCAAGCGUUGUUCGGAUUCAUUGGGCGUAAAGGGUGCGAGUAGGCGGCGCGGUAAGUCGGGUGUGAAAGUCUCGGGGCUUAACUCCGAAACUGCAUUCGAUACUGCCGUGCUUGAGGACUGGAGAGGAGUACUGGAAUUUACGGUGGUAGCGGUGAAAUGCGUAGAUAUCGAUAAGGAAGACCAGUGGCGA